rnacentral:misc_RNA from 1 species
GAUGAAGAACGUAGCGAAAUGCGAUAAGUAAUGUGAAUUGCAGAAUUCAGUGAAUCAUCGAAUCUUUGAACGCACCUUGCGCCCUUUGGCCAUUCCGAAGGGCAUGCCUGUUUGAGUAUCAUGAACACCUCAACUCUUUAUGGUUUUCCAUGAUGAGCUUGGACUCUGGGGGUUUUGCUGGCUCACAGUCGGCUCCUCUAAAAUGAAUCAGCUUAUCAGUGUUUGGUGGGUAUCAUGGGUGUGAUAAAUAUCUACGCUUGUGGUUUUUCCACCAGGUAACCUUCAGCAGUGGAGGUUCGCUGGAGCUCAUAGAUGUCUCUCCUCAGUGAGGACAGCCCUUUGAAUGUUUGAUCUCAAAUCAGGUAGGACUACCCGCUGAACUUAAGCAUAUCAAUAAGCGGAGGA